GGACUACUGGGGUAUCUAAUCCUGUUUGCUCCCCACGCUUUCGCACCUCAGUGUCAGUAUCAGUCCAGGUGGUCGCCUUCGCCACUGGUGUUCCUUCCUAUAUCUACGCAUUUCACCGCUACACAGGAAAUUCCACCACCCUCUACCGUACUCUAGUCAGGCAGUUAUGGAUGCAGUUCCCAGGUUGAGCCCGGGGAUUUCACAUCCAUCUUACCAAACCACCUACGCGCGCUUUACGCCCAGUAAUUCCGAUUAACGCUUGCACCCUUCGUAUUACCGCGGCUGCUGGCAC
rnacentral:rRNA from 1 species